rnacentral:rRNA from 1 species
GAUGAACGCUGGCGGCGUGCCUAAUACAUGCAAGUCGAGCGGACGGACGAUAAUCUUGCUUCUCUGAUGUUAGCGGCAGACGUGUGAGUAACACGUGUAUAACCUACCUAUAAUUCUGGUAAAACUUCGGGAAACCGGAGCUAAUACCGUAGAAUCUCUUGAACCGCAUGGUUCAUAAGUGAAAGUCGGUCUUGCUGUCACGUAUCGAUGCAUCCGCGCUGCAUUGGCUAGUUGGUAAGGUAACGGCUUACCAAGGCAACGAGGCAUAACCGACCUGAGAGGGUGAUCGGCGACACUGGAACGUGGCCACGGUCAAGACGCCUAAGGGAGGCAGCAGUAGGGAAUCGUCCGCAAUGGGCGAAAGCAUGACGGAGCAACGCGGCGCGAGUGAUGAAGGUCUUGGGAUCGUAAAACUCUGUUAUUAGGGAAGAACAUAUGUGUAAGUAACUGUGCAGAGCUUGACGGUAACUAAUCAGAAAGCCACGGCUAACUACGUG